rnacentral:lncRNA from 1 species
UCCUGGACGGAACGGGGUAGUCAAGGGGAAGCCCCCUCUGCGGCGAUCCGCGCCACAGCAGGAAGGACCGCACUGGUAGCGGGGGUGGGGAGGGUUCGCCCAAUCAACAAGCAAGCACGGAGCACCCCGAGAGAGCUCCUUCCCCGUUUUUCCUCUGUCACAGGGAGGAUGGAACCGGCGACCGGGGGUUGAAGGCCGGCGAUGGCUCGCGCGAUUCCUUAUUAUCUCCUCCCAGCAGCGAGGACAACCCCAACCCUGCACCGCAGCCUGCUAGAGAGAGAAGCAGUCGAGGAGGAAGAGAGAGAGAGAGAGAGAGAGAGAGAGAGGUNNNNNNNNNNNNNNNNNNNNACCGACCGACCGACCGACCGACCGACCGACCGACGACGACGACGACGACGAGAGAGAGAGAGAGAGAGAGAGAGAGAGAGAGAGAGAGAGAGAGAGAGAGAGAGAGAGGGUUGCAGAAAAUGAUUUUUCUACCCUGGCGAGGGCAAAUGAAG